rnacentral:rRNA from 1 species
AUUGAACGCUGGCGGCAUGCUUUACACAUGCAAGUCGAGCGGCAGCGCGGGCUUCGGCCUGGCGGCGAUUGGCGAACGGGUGCGUAAUACAUCGGAACGUGCCCAGUAGUGGGGGAUAGCUCGGCGAAAGCCGGAUUAAUACCGCAUACGACCUGAGGGUGAAAGCGGGGGAUCUUCGGACCUCGCGCUAUUGGAGCGGCCGAUGGCAGAUUAGCUAGUUGGUGGGGUAAAGGCCUACCAAGGCGACGAUCUGUAGCUGGUCUGAGAGGACGACCAGCCACACUGGGACGUAGACACGGCCCAGACUCCUACGGGAGGCAGCAGAGGGGAAUUUUGGACAAUGGGCGAAAUCCUGAUCAAGCAAGGCCGCGUGUGUGAUGAAGGCCUGCGGGUUGUAAAGCACUUUUGGCGGGAACGAAAAGGACUGUGCCAAUACCACGGUUCGAUGACGGUACCCGCAGAAUAAGCACCGGCUAACUACGUG